UACGGGGGGAGCAAGCGUUGUUCGGAUUUACUGGGCGUAAAGGGCGCGUAGGCGGCGCAACAAGUCACUUGUGAAAUCUCCGGGCUUAACCCGGAGCGGCCAAGUGAUACUGUCGUGCUAGAGUGCGGAAGGGGCUACUGGUAUUCUCGGUGUAGCGGUGAAAUGCGUAGAUAUCGAGAGGAACACCUGCGGCGAAGGCGGGUAGCUGGGCCGACACUGACGCUGAGGCGCGAAAGCCAGGGGAGCGAACGGG
rnacentral:rRNA from 1 species